rnacentral:rRNA from 1 species
GACGAACGCUGGCGGCGUGCUUAACACAUGCAAGUUGAACGGUCCGGCAUGGAAGCUUGCUGAAGUGUCGGGUAGUAGCGGACGGGUGAGUAAUGCAUGAGAAGCUGCCAUUGGGAGGGGGACAACAGUUGGAAACGGCUGCUAAUACCCCAUAUGCCGGAAGGUGAACCGGAGUGAUCCGCCCGAUGAGGUGCUCAUGUCCUAUCAGCUAGUUGGUGAGGUAACGGCUCACCAAGGCGACGACGGGUAGCCGGCCUGAGAGGGUGACCGGCCACACUGGAACUGUGAUACGGUCCAGACUCCUACGGGAGGCAGCAGUGGGGAAUAUUGGGCAAUGGGGGCAACCCUGACCCAGCGACGCCGCGUGAGGGAAGACGGCCUUCGGGUUGUAAACCUCUUUUGUACGGGAGGAAGGACGUGACGGUACCGUGCGAAUAAGUCCCGGCUAACUACGUGCCAGCCGCCGCCGUAAAAC